rnacentral:rRNA from 1 species
AUUGAACGCUGGCGGCAUGCCUUACACAUGCAAGUCGAACGGUAACAGGUCUUCGGAUGCUGACGAGUGGCGAACGGGUGAGUAAUCCAUCGGAACGUGCCUAGUAGUGGGGGAUAACUACUCGAAAGAGUGGCUAAUACCGCAUGAGAUCUACGGAUGAAAGCAGGGGAUCGAAAGACCUUGUGCUACUAGAGCGGCCGAUGGCAGAUUAGGUAGUUGGUGGGAUAAAAGCUUACCAAGCCGACGAUCUGUAGCUGGUCUGAGAGGACGAUCAGCCACGCUGGGACUGAGAGACGGCCCAGACUCCUGCGGGAGGCAGCAGUGGGGAAUGUUGGACAAGGGGCGAAAGCCUAAUCCAGCAAUGCCGCGGGCAGGAUGUAGGCCUUCGAGUUGUAAACUGCUUUUGGACGGAACGAAAAGCCCGGGGUUAAUACCCUGGGGUCAUGACGGUACCGUAAGAAUAAGCACCGGCUAACUACGUGCCAGCCGCCGCCGUAA